GACGAACGCUGGCGGCGUGCCUAAUACAUGCAAGUAGAACGCUGAAGAGAGGAGCUUGCUCUUCUUGGAUGAGUUGCGAACGGGUGAGUAACGCGUAGGUAACCUGCCUUGUAGCGGGGGAUAACUAUUGGAAACGAUAGCUAAUACCGCAUAACAAUGGAUGACACAUGUCCUUUAUUUGAAAGGGGCAAUUGUUCCACUACAAGAUGGACCUGCGUUGUAUUAGCUAGUAGGUGAGGUAAUGGCUCACCUAGGCGACGAUACAUAGCCGACCUGAGAGGGUGAUCGGCCACACUGGGACUGAGACACGGCCCAGACUCCUACGGGAGGCAGCAGUAGGGAAUCUUCGGCAAUGGGGGCAACCCUGACCGAGCAACGCCGCGGGAGUGAAGAAGGGUUUCGGAUCGUAAAGCUCGGUUGUAAGUCAAGAACGGGUGUGAGAGUGGAAAGUUCACACUGUGACGGUAGCUUACCAGAAAGGGACGGCUAACUACGUG
rnacentral:rRNA from 1 species